GAUGAGCAGCAGUGUUCUUAUAUUUUAACCACUUCAACGCCAAACAUAUUGUGGACACGACUUCCCAUGUUGUAAACACAAGUUCAUGAGUUUCAUUUGAAGGCA